rnacentral:rRNA from 1 species
GACGAACGCUGGCGGCGUGCUUAACACAUGCAAGUCGAACGGAAAGGCCCUGCUUUUGUGGGGUGCUCGAGUGGCGAACGGGUGAGUAACACGUGAGUAACCUGCCCUUGACUUUGGGAUAACUUCAGGAAACUGGGGCUAAUACCGGAUAGGAGCUCCUGCUGCAUGGUGGGGGUUUGAAAGUUUCGGCGGUUGGGGAUGGACUCGCGGCUUAUCAGCUUGUUGGUGGGGUAGUGGCUUACCAAGGCUUUGACGGGUAGCCGGCCUGAGAGGGUGACCGGCCACAUUGGGACUGAGAUACGGCCCAGACUCCUACGGGAGGCAGCAGUGGGGAAUAUUGCACAAUGGGCGGAAGCCUGAUGCAGCAACGCCGCGUGCGGGAUGACGGCCUUCGGGUUGUAAACCGCUUUCGCCUGUGACGAAGCGUGAGUGACGGUAAUGUGUAAAGAAGCACCGGCUAACUACGUG